UAUUAGUAUACAUUUGUAUAUGCAGCUGUAUGGCAGUUAAAUUUACACAUUAUAGGUUUCUAGGUAUACCUAGAAAAUUUAAUAAAAAGGUACCUACGUCAGAAGUUCAGGACGGCUGUUGCGGAGCGCCGGAGCCCGGAGCUCAGUCGUGAGUUGUCUGCCGUCGGUGGUGGGUUAAAUGUUCAGUGAUUUCGUUUUAUUAUGCGUAACGCCUAAUGGUUUUUUUUCAUAUACCACACACAUUCCCGUUCAUAAAUAACUAUUAUACUUACAAUAUAUUUAUAUUAUUUAUAUAGAUAGAUAGUUAAGUUUACUAAAAAAUAAAACUAUAUUUUUUAAAAAAUAUAUAUUAUUUUAAUUUAGUUUAAUUUAAUCUUCUGUCCAAUACCUCCGUAUGGGUACCUAUAAUGUGUUAAUG